rnacentral:rRNA from 1 species
UACGUAGGUGGCAAGCGUUGUCCGGAGUUAUUGGGCGUAAAGCGCGCGCAGGCGGUGCGGUAAGUCUCUGGUGAAAGCGCUCGGCUUAACUGGGCGAGGGCCGGGGAGACUGCCACGCUGGAGGGGAGCAGAGGCGAGUGGAAUUCCGGGUGUAGUGGUGAAAUGCGUAGAGAUCCGGAGGAACACCAGUGGCGAAGGCGGCUGCCUGGGGCUUUGCUGACGCUGAUGCGCGAAAGCGUGGGGAGCGAUCCGG